rnacentral:rRNA from 1 species
GACGAACGCUGGCGGCGUGCUUAACACAUGCAAGUCGAACGGUAAGGCCCUUCGGGGUACACGAGUGGCGAACGGGUGAGUAACACGUCGGUGAUCUGCCCUGCACUUCGGGAUAAGCCUGGGAAACUGGGUCUAAUACCGGAUAGGACCCUGGGAUGCAUGUCCUGGGGUGGAAAGCUUUUGCGGUUGGGGAUGGGCCCGCGGCCUAUCAGCUUGUUGGGGGGGUGAGGGCCUACCAAGGCGACGACGGGUAGCCGGCCUGGGAGGGUGACCGGCCACACUGGGACUGAGAUACGGCCCAGACUCCUACGGGAGGCAGCAGUGGGGAAUAUUGCACAAUGGGCGCAAGCCUGAUGCAGCGACGCCGCGUGAGGGAUGACGGCCUUCGGGUUGUAAACCUCUUUCAGCUAUGACGAAGCGCAAGUGACGGUAGUAGCAGAAGAAGGACCGGCCAACUACGUGCCAGCAGCCGCCGUAA